rnacentral:rRNA from 1 species
ACCCGCUGAACUUAAGCAUAUCAAUAAGCGGAGGAAAAGAAACUAACAAGGAUUCCCCUAGUAACUGCGAGUGAAGCGGGAAAAGCUCAAAUUUGAAAUCUGGCAGUUCUUGACUGUCCGAGUUGUAAUCUAGAGAAGUGUUACCUGUGCUGGACCGUGUACAAGUCUUCUGGAAUGGAGCAUCAUAGAGGGUGAGAAUCCCGUCUUUGACACGGACUACCUGUACAUUAUGGUGUGCUCUCAAAGAGUCGAGUUGUUUGGGAAUGCAGCUCAAAAUGGGUGGUAAAUGCCAUCUAAAGCUAAAUAUUGGCGAGAGACCGAUAGCGAACAAGUACCGUGAGGGAAAGAUGAAAAGAACUUUGGAAAGAGAGUUAAACAGUACGUGAAAUUGCUGAAAGGGAAACGCUUGAAGUCAGUCGCGUUGGCUUGAAAUCAGCCUUAGCUUUUGCUUGGUGUACUUUCUUGUUGACGGGUCAGCAUCAAUUUUGACCACUGGAUAAAGUCUUUGGGAAUGUGACAUCUUCGGAUGUGUUAUAGCCCAUUGUCGCAUACAGUGGUUGGGAUUGAGGAACUCAGCACGGCCGCAAGGCUUCGGGUUUCGACCACGUUCGUGCUUAGGAUGCUGGCAUAAUGGCUUUAAUCGACCCGUCUUGAAACACGGACCAAGGAGUCUAACAUGCCUGCGAGUGUUUGGGUGGAAAACCCAUGCGCGCAAUGAAAGUGAAAGUUGAGAUCCCUCUCAAAGGGGAGCAUUGACGCCCGGACCAGACCUUCUGUGACGGAUCCGCGGUAGAGCAUGUAUGUUGGGACCCGAAAGAUGGUGAACUAUGCCUGAAUAGGGUGAAGCCAGAGGAAACUCUGGUGGAGGCUCGUAGCGAUUCUGACGUGCAAAUCGAUCGUCAAAUUUGGGUAUAGGGGCGAAAGACUAAU